AGCAGGCACCGCGGGGCAACGCCCCCAAGCAGGCUCCAGGGACUGGGUGCUGGGUGCUGCGCCCCGCGCCCCGCCCGGCACUCCCGCGGAGCGGCCCACGCGCGCCCGGGGCCCCGCGCCCCCGGCCCGUCCACAGCUGCUCCGCAGCCCCUCCCGGCCCCGCCCGUCCGCCGUUACCUGCUGUCGGGGGCGGCUUCCCCCACACACCACCCCCGGCUCCGGGGACGGCGGCCGCUGGUCCCGCGGCUCUCACAUGAGGCCCCUGGGGCCCCCUGCUUCGCGCUCCCGCGGCCGCGGCCCCCCGUGCGAAGCCCGCAUCCGAGGCGCUGGUCCCCCGGCGGGCGCCAACGCGGCUCCACCUUUGCAAGUCUGGCUGCCCCGACGAGACGCCUUCCUUCUCAGUCCCGCGCUGUCUACGUCUCGGCCCCGGGACUCCCAGUCGCUGCCAGAGGCUCCCCGCUCAGCCAGCUGCAGCCGCCGCGUAGCUCUCCAGCUCUUCGGCCCAGACACCGAGUCCAAAAUGGCGCCCGGGGCUCGCGGGCGCGCGCUUUCCCCGGCGCGUCCCCGCCCGAGGGGGCGGGCGCGUGUCCGCCGCGGAGGGGGCGGGGCGCGGAGGAAGCCCCGCCUGGGCGAGAGCGCGCGCCGCGCGGCGUCCGCCUCCCGGGUUCCUCAAGGGGCCGCGGCUCCGGCGGUCAGGGGACGUCUUGUUUGGGAGCGCAAUGUGGGCAGGCUGGCGCUAGCUCGACGCGGUUCAGACUGGAAAGUGUAAGGAGGUGGAGCAGCCAAAAGCAGGAGGGCGUGUCCCAGGAGCGUGGGGCACUCCGGGCCGCGGGACGGUGGACAGUCGCCGGCGGCAGCGACACCCCUCCGCUCCUGCGGGGGUCAGCACGGGGCCCCAGUGGAGCCGGGCAUCAGACCUACAGAUGUGGUGGCGGAAAGAUUGCAAGGACGCUGGGAUUACAGAUAGUUUUCAAAACACUCGUGAUUCCCGAUUUUCCUAAAGUCUUUAUCAACCGAGUUACUACUCUCGUGAGAAACCACCUUUCCUUCAUGAAGUAG
rnacentral:lncRNA from 1 species